AAAUUCUAAAUGACUCUCGGCAACGGAUAUCUCGGCUCUUGCAUCGAUGAAGAACGUAGCGAAAUGCGAUACUUGGUGUGAAUUGCAGAAUCCCGUGAACCAUCGAGUCUUUGAACGCAAGUUGCGCCCGAAGCCAUUAGGCUGAGGGCACGCCUGCCUGGGUGUCACACA
rnacentral:rRNA from 1 species